GGUCUGCUUGAGUUUCCCUGAAAGUCAAGCUGGCCAGUGAGAGGAGUAAAGUUGCCUCACAAAGGGACAUCAUCAACCAGCUGCAGAAUGAACUGAUCCACAAGAAUGAGAGUGAGAAGGACCUGCUGAAGCUUCAGAGAGUCUACACUAAGCAGCACAAGGACAUGCAAAGCUACCAGAGAUGCGUUGCAAAGAUAGCAAGUUUGGAGAU